UCCUCAACGCCGAAAACCCAAGGUUUCCUACGCGAUGCUCGUCAUCGUAGGGUUAGUCGGGACCUAAGUCGAGUCCGAAAGGGGUAGACGAUGGCAAAUUGAUUAAUAUUUCAAUACCAACAUAUAAGCGCGAUGUGGGGACGCAUAGAGUUAAUCGAGGUCACUGAUGGAAUAGUGGCUCGAAGGACGUAGGCUGUUAAGUAGGCAAAUCCGCUUAACAUUAGGCCGAGAUCUUACAGGCUCUUGACACUCUUCGGAGGAGAUGGAGAAUCGAUGAUACUGUCGUGCCAAGAAAAGCCACUAAGUUUAUUAUAUGUUGCCCGUACCGUAAACCGACACAGGUGGGUGGGAUGAGUAUUCUAAGGCGCGUGGAAGAACCCUGGUUAAGGAACUCUGCAAACUAGCACCGUAUCUUCGGUAUAAGGUGUGCCUACUUUUGUAUAUGAACUUGCUUCAAAAAGCGAAAGAGGUUGCAACAAAGAGUCCCUCCCGACUGUUUACCAAAAACACAGCACUUUGCUAACACGUAAGUGGAUGUAUAAGGUGUGACGCCUGCCCGGUGCUCGAAGGUUAACUGAUGAUGUCAGCGCAAGCGAAGCAUUUGAUUGAAGCCCGAGUAAACGGCGGCCGUAACUAUAACGGUCCUAAGGUAGCGAAAUUCCUUGUCGGUUAAAUACCGACCUGCAUGAAUGGCGUAACGAGAUGGGAGCUGUCUCAACCAGGGAUCCAGUGAAAUUGUAGUGGAGGUGAAAAUUCCUCCUACCCGCGGAAAGACGGAAAGACCCCGUGCACCUUUACUACAGCUUGACACUGUAGCUUGGAUAUUCAUGUGCAGGAUAGGUGGGAGGCUAUGAUGACUAGACGCCAGUAGAGUCGGAGCCAUCCUUGAGAUACCACCCUUGAAUAUUUGAGUUACUAACUGCGUACAAUUAUCUUGUAUCAGGACAAUGUCUGGUGGGUAGUUUGACUGGGGCGGUCGCCUCCUAAAAAGUAACGGAGGCUUACAAAGGUUAGUUCAAAGCGGAUGGAAAUCGCUUGUUGAGUAUAAUGGCAUAAACUAGCUUGACUGUGAGACAUACAAGUCGAACAGAGACGAAAGUCGGUCAUAGUGAUCCGGUGGUUCUGUGUGGAAGGGCCAUCGCUCAAAGGAUAAAAGGUACGCCGGGGAUAACAGGCUGAUCUCCCCCAAGAGCUCACAUCGACGGGGAGGUUUGGCACCUCGAUGUCGGCUCAUCGCAUCCUGGGGCUGUAGUCGGUCCCAAGGGUAUGGCUGUUCGCCAUUUAAAGCGGUACGCGAGCUGGGUUCAGAACGUCGUGAGACAGUUCGGUCCCUAUCUUCCGUGGGCGUAGGAAAGUUGAAGAGAUUUGUCCCUAGUACGAGAGGACCGGGAUGAACGUACCACUGGUGUACCAAUUGUUCUGCCAAGAGCAUCGUUGGGUAGCUACGUACGGAUGUGAUAAGAGCUGAAAGCAUCUAAGCUCGAAGCCAACUCUAAGAUUAACUUUCCCUGAAGUUCCCAGCAAGACUAGCUGGUUGAUAGGCUGGAUGUGUAAGCGUUGUAAGACGUUUAGCUGACCAGUACUAAUAGAACGUUUGGCUUAUUUUU
rnacentral:rRNA from 1 species